GCCACCUUUCAAACGAAAACAAAACGUUUUCUCUCCAAAAUACUACACUUCUUUCGGAAACACGACAUUUUCUCCCCCCCCUCCCAGAAAAAAAAAAACAAAAACCAAAAACGGCAACCAAAACAACAAACCAAACACUUCUACCCACCAUUGGACUGGCAGGCAUGUGUUGGGCUUGUCUGCUGGUAGAAGGAACAAGGUUAGGCAUAGUUUCUACAGAGAACAACUGCUUCGAUUUCUUUCUAGAUUUGGUCGUAAGUAUCAGAGGAGCGGCAAGAAAGGGCCCUGCCACUGCCCGUCGGUUACUACGCAGCUGUACGUGACAGAGCCCGCUGUGGCUGGAAGUGUAAAGGAUGGCAGUUCAGAAUCCUCUCUUGCCAGCUUGCCGUGCUGCAGUCUUGAGCUUGUGAAGCGUGCUCCUGAGGUCUUCUUUUUCGUUUGAAAGGUGGUAUUUUGUGGGAGAUGAUGCUUAACUGCGGGGCGAAAAGUAGGAUCUGGGGGAGAAAAUCCACUUCUGGGUCGGAAAGAAUAGGACAUUUUCUCCCCCAAGUACCCCUUGUCUCACCGAAACAAGACUCUUUCUCCACUAAAUACCACUGCUCUCCACAAAACAUGACUUCUCGCCUGCCAAAUACAAAGCUGUUUGCUUUCCAAAAAGACGACGUUUCCUUCGCGCGCUCCCUUUUUUCUCCACAACAUGCAAAUUCUCUCUCCAAAACAGGACAGUUUCACCCCCUAAUGCUACUUUUCUCCAGAACAUAGGGCCCUUCCUUCGCGCAUCAUGCCACAUUUCUCCUGAAAAUAUACAGCUCUUCCUUGCAAAAUACCACUUUUCUCCCAAAGACAUGACCAUUUUCUUCCCACACCAUACCACUCUUCUCCAAAACUACGAUCUCUCCUCUCAAAAACGCCACUUUUCUCCCAAAAAUACGACGUUUCUUCCCCUCAGGACCUCUUUUCUCCUCCAUAGAUGAGACUUUCUCGACCCAAAUCUCACUUUCGUCAAGAAAAGAAGGCAUUUUCCCGACCACAAAACCACUCUUCACCCCCAAAUCAGACUUUUCUCCCCAAAACACCACUGUGCUCCCUAAAAGAAGACACUCUCUCCCCCCACAUACCACUGCCACCUUUCAAACGAAAACAAAACGUUUUCUCUCCAAAAUACUACACUUCUUUCGGAAACACGACAUUUUCUCCCCCCCCUCCCAGAAAAAAAAAACAAAAACCAAAAAACGGCAACCAAAACAACAAACCAAACACUUCUACCCACCAUUGGACUGGCAGGCAUGUGUUGGGCUUGUCUGCUGGUAGAAGGAACAAGGUUAGGCAUAGUUUCUACAGAGAACAACUGCUUCGAUUUCUUUCUAGAUUUGGUCGUAAGUAUCAGAGGAGCGGCAAGAAAGGGCCCUGCCACUGCCCGUCUGUUACUACGCAGCUGUACGUGACAGAGCCCGCUGUGGCUGGAAGUGUAAAGGAUGGCAGUUCAGAAUCCUCUCUUGCCAGCUUGCCGUGCUGCAGUCUUGAGCUUGUGAAGCGUGCUCCUGAGGCUUCUUUUCGUUUGAAAGGUGGUAUUUUGUGGGAGAUGAUGCUUAACUGCGGGGCGAAAAGUAGGAUCUGGGGGAGAAAAUCCACUUCUGGGUCGGAAAGAAUAGGACAUUUUCUCCCCCAAGUACCCCUUGUCUCACCGAAACAAGACUCUUUCUCCACUAAAUACCACUGCUCUCCACAAAACAUGACUUCUCGCCUGCCAAAUACAAAGCUGUUUGCUUUCCAAAAAGACGACGUUUCCUUCGCGCGCUCCCUUUUUUCUCCACAACAUGCAAAUCUCUCUCCAAAACAGGACAGUUUCUCCUCCAAACGCUACUUUUCUCCAGAACAUAGGGCCCUUCCUUCGCGCAUCAUGCCACAUUUCUCCUGA
rnacentral:lncRNA from 7 species